rnacentral:lncRNA from 1 species
AAUUGAAACACAAGGUUUAUGACGACUAAAGGAAGGUUGGGAUUGAUUUUGGUGGUUAUGGUCCUUACAGUUUAGAAGUUGGAGGGGUUAAAAGGGGCCCAAAUGGUUUCCAGACAAUAACUUGUAAAAUGGUGUAUGGAUCCCUCUGAAAUAAUACCACAAAUUUCCAAACAAGAAAGAGAUGGUAAAAAUUUGCUUUAC